rnacentral:rRNA from 1 species
ACAGCCGUUGCACACGAGUCCAGUCGAUCCUAAGCCACGCAGGUAAAAUCUCGAGCAUUGUGGGACUGUGAGUAAGCGAUGAAAGCUUUCCCCUAUGCGUGGCGAAGGGAAUCCGGUU